GAUGAAGGCCUUAGGGUUGUAAAGCUCUUUCGCCAGGGAUGAUAAUGACAGUACCUGGUAAAGAAACCCCGGCUAACUCCGUGCCAGCAGCCGCGGUAAUACGGAGGGGGUUAGCGUUGUUCGGAAUUACUGGGCGUAAAGCGCGCGUAGGCGGAUUGGAAAGUUGGGGGUGAAAUCCCGGGGCUCAACCCCGGAACUGCCUCCAAAACUCCCAGUCUUGAGUUCGAGAGAGGUGAGUGGAACUCCGAGUGUAGAGGUGAAAUUCGUAGAUAUUCGGAAGAACACCAGUGGCGAAGGCGGCUCACUGGCUCGAUACUGACGCUGAGGUGCGAAAGUGUGGGGAGCAAACAGGAUUAGAUACCCUGGUAGUCCACACCGUAAACGAUGAAUGCCAGACGUCGGGCAGCAUGCUGUUCGGUGUCACACCUAACGGAUUAAGCAUUCCGCCUGGGGAGUACGGUCGCAAGAUUAAAACUCAAA
rnacentral:rRNA from 1 species